UUGCAACCCUUACGCGUCGCCUUGGCGGCGCUCCC
rnacentral:rRNA from 1 species